rnacentral:rRNA from 1 species
AACGAACGCUGGCGGCAUGCCUAACACAUGCAAGUCGAACGAGACCUUCGGGUCUAGUGGCGCACGGGUGCGUAACGCGUGGGAACCUGCCCUUAGGUUCGGAAUAACUCCCCGAAAGGGGUGCUAAUACCGGAUAAUGUCUUCGGACCAAAGAUGUCUCGCCUCUGGAUGGGCCCGCGUUGGAUUAGCUAGUUGGUAGGGUAAAAGCCUGCCAAGGCGACGAUCCAUAGCUGGUCUGAGAGGAGGAUCAACCGCGCUUGGACUGAGACACGGCCCAGACCCCGACGGAAGGGUGGAGUAGGUAAUAUUGUGGGAGGGGCGAAAGCCUAGUCCAGCAAUGCGCGGGGUGAGAGGAAGGGCUUAGGGAUGUAAAUCCGCUUUUCCCGGAGUGAUAAUGACAGUACCGGGAGAAGAAGCUCCGGCUAACUCCGUG